UACAGAGGUCUCAAGCGUUGUUCGGAUUCAUUGGGCGUAAAGGGCGCGUAGGCGGUCAGCACAAGUCAGUUGUGAAAUCUCCGGGCUUAACUCGGAAAGGUCAACUGAUACUGUGCGACUAGAGUGCAGAAGGGGCAACUGGAAUUCUCGGUGUAGCGGUGAAAUGCGUAGAUAUCGAGAGGAACACCUGCGGCGAAGGCGGGUUGCUGGGCUGACACUGACGCUGAGGCGCGAAAGCCAGGGGAGCGAACGGG
rnacentral:rRNA from 1 species